CUCCUUGCUGCUUCAGAAAGCAAAAGUAAUAUCAGUUCUAAUUAUAUAUCGAUCCGAUUUGGUUGUAUUUAUGGCACAAGAUACUGUUGUAUAGUAUUGUCUUCAGAACUUGGUCAGAUGAACAGAGGGAACAAAUUUAAUGUAGAACUUGCAUGAAAUGUUAUUGCACAGUUCAAAGCUAUCCAAGGUACAAAUACAAAUUUGUAAGAGAACACAAGAUAAGUAAAAGCAACUGUUUCACAUGCAGUACAAAUCCACCAGCUUACUGUUCCUUUUUUGAUCUCUCAAACCAUCAACCAGGAAGUGAUGGAGCAAAAAGGCGAGAGUCGAACAUUGAACAAAUAUGGAAUCAAAUGCUACCCUUUGAAUGAAGGAGAUUAUGUCCAUUUGAGUCAUGAGCAAUACUAACUAGUUUCAAUUGAGGGGUAAAAACCCAUUUUUAUUAGGAGAAAAAAAAAUUGAUGGAUAUUUAAUUAUCCGUAUUUUACGAAAAAGGCAUAUUUGUCAUAUUGAAUUGGAAAGUAUAAUGUAGUUAUUUCCGGCUGUUAGGUUUAAAAACCAUGAUAUAAGUAUGGAUUAUAACGUAUACACAGGUAACUCAUGAAUCUCUUAUGAGUUGUGGUUUUUUAAGAGUAACAAGAUGGAUAGGUAUAAGUAAAAUCCUGUUAAUGUCAGCAAUUUUGAAAGCCUAUAUCCAUGUAAGGUAAAUGUCAUUCAAAAACCUAAAUGGUGGAUUAACAUAAAAAGUUAUAGACACAGUUGUCUUCGUGAUAAAGUGUUAACCGUACCGAUGAAAAAGGAAAUAGAAAGGUAACUGCAUGUUCUUUGAAGGCAUGGAUGUCAUAUUUUGCCAGGCUUUCUGAUCAAGUCCCCUCAUUAGAUGUCAAGGACACUAACUGCAAUUUCCAAUUUCACUCAACCAUCUGUUUUCUCAACUGCAAUUUCCUAAAUCAUGGCCAUCGACCCAAUAGACUUUAAAUAUAAACACUUCAUCAUGCCAAAUUGUGUAAAGCCUAUGAUUAUACAGUUUGUAGAUCGACCUAGUCCUCCUCUAUAGAAAGGAUUUUAAAGGGAGCCAUUUUUCUUAUGCCAGACAUAAAAGAGGUAUGAGAGUAUCUCAUAAUCUCCAUCUUCACUAUAGUAAAAAUUCUGCAACAGCAAGUGGACAUAGUUCUCACUUUGAGAGUGACCACUAUAUGUCGUGGUCAUUAAUCCAUAGCACAUCAUGAGUCCAUAACAUAGUCUCUGUUUGGUGGUCAUUUUCUUGGAAAAAUAUUAAACUUGGGGAGAACGUGUGGUAAAAAAAUAGGGAAAAGCUUUGAGUUUAAAUGUAGAAUAUUUUGUUGUAUGAAUGUGUGGUAGAAAAUGAGUACAUAUAAAAAGGAAUUUUGAAAGAAUGAGAGACAAACAAGGGCCUAAUAUCCAACAUUGAAAGACAGCAACUCUGCAUGUUUGCCUCUCCACCAGCAUACUCAAGCCUCACUUACUCUUCUUUAAUGGAAUUUAAUCCUGGUAAAUUUUGCUUUCUCAAGCAUCCCUUUCCCAACUCCAAUUAUAUUCAUGGCCUAGUACUAACCAAGAACUUUAAUUUGUAUUAAAAUUAAAACCAACCCUAUCAAAUUGUUCCUAACCACCAAAUUAAGUGUCCCCCUUCUUGAAAGACAAUAAAUUUCUACAAUUAACCCUAUGUAGAGCCCUUUUCUUGAAAUCACAACCACUUGAUGUAAUAUCUUCUUUAAAUCAUUGGACACCCAUCUUUAAAUAACACUUAAAUUCACACUCCAUGAAAAAACCCACCAAGAAUCCUACAACUACAUUCUUUAAUAUCCAUAAAUGACUUGAAGAAAAUUUCCCUAAUAAUAAAUCUCUUCAAAUCAACCACCUUUUGUUGAGUUCUUAUUGCCAUAAACCAAGAAUUUAUCACUACAACUUCUACACCGGUAAAAAGUCAUAUAUUUAUACUACUUUCAACUACUUAAACUACCACCACUGAUAAUAUACCUAUGGACAAUAGUGCAUGAAAUUAAAGAUUAUCAAAAGCUAAAGGGCAUUUCUGAAGAGGAAAAAAGAUGUGAUUUUUUAGUUUAUUUACUUACUGUUAAUAAAGGAAGCAACCUGUAGAGUUGGAGUGCACAACCCGAUCUCCAUUUUCAUUUAUGAAUGGAUGGCUUAGCUUUUUCUGUGGGGUUUAUAGUGAAUUGAUGCAAUUUAGCAUGGUCAUGGGCAUAAAAUUUUCUUUGCAAAAAUGCCCAUAGUAUAU
rnacentral:lncRNA from 1 species